AGCAGGCGGAAGGAGAAUCCAGGGGUGUGGGGAGGAGGUGGCGGGUGCAGCGCGGAACUCGGGCAGAAGCAGAGUGAAGGCGGGGAAAUAAACUCUUCGGCGACAACUGGCGACAAUUAUCUGCCGACGUCGUACCAGCGAAACUCCUCUCCGCCCCCCUCCCCUGUUGCGUGGGCCCGAGUCUCUCAACUCCUCGCCCGCGCGGAGGUCUCCCGCCACCUCCUGGCCCGCAGCCCCCUCCUCCGGGCCCCGCGGCACGCCCAGCCCCGACGCGCACACACAGCUGGGCUCCCGCCUGGCGUUCUCCGCCCCGUGGGUGGGGCGCCCAGCACCCAGCGCCGCCUUGUCCGCUUUCCCAGUCUCACCCGCACCCAAGGAGGAAGAGGUGUCCUAGCCGCGCUCUCCAUUUCUGCUGGAUUCCUCUCGCUUCCCAUCUUUCCUUCUGAUUCACUUUCCCACCGUCUUGCAACUUGUCCUCCUGGCAGUCUCUUUUUCUCCAGCUCCCGCAUCUUCCUUUCUCUCCCUGUCUCGCCGCCUGUUUUCUCUUUCCCUCUCUUCCCACCUUCUUUCUGCCUUUCCCUAAAUUCCACGCUUUGGGAUUCGCGUCUCUCGCUCGACUCCCUUUUUCUGCCCCCCGGCGCCCCGUUUAAAAUGUCGUUCCUGUCCCUGGGAAUCGGCAGCCCCAGCCUGGUCCCUUCUGGCCGAGGGCAACCCCGGGCCUCUCUUCCGGGAGGGGGGAAGCGGAUGGGACCUCCGGGAGCCGGGCGGAGGGCGCCCCGAAGCGCGCACCCCUCUUCUCCGGCGCCUGGGCUGCGCCGACCCACGCGACAUCUGUCGCCCGCGCUCCCGGCUCACACCCCGCGCACCCCCCCAGCUCCCUCGGAGCUACCACCCCCCACGCUCCGGCUGCCGCCUCUCCCCGCCGGCACAGACGCUCGGGCCUCGCCUGCGGGCGCCGCGCCAGCUUCCCAGGGUAUCGGCGCGCUGGGGGUCUCGGCAGGACCAGAGCGCACGGCACCCGUGGGCCGCGGCAUCCCAGGGUCACUGACUUUCGCACCUCCGACCUUCACCUUCAGCUCUAGAGUCACCCGUGGUGGGCUCAGCCUGAUUCUCUCCACCUCCAUUCUCUGCAGCUCUCCUCUCUAUUCCAGAUUCUGA
rnacentral:lncRNA from 1 species